rnacentral:rRNA from 1 species
UACGAAGGGAGCUAGCGUUGUUCGGAAUCACUGGGCGUAAAGCGCACGUAGGCGGAUGUGUCAGUCAGGGGUGAAAUCCCGGAGCUCAACUUCGGAACUGCCUUUGAUACAGCACGUCUUGAGUCCGGAAGAGGUGGGUGGAAUUCCUAGUGUAGAGGUGUAAUUCGUAGAUAUUAGGAAGAACACCGGUGGCGAAGGCGGCCCACUGGUCCGGUACUGACGCUGAGGUGCGAAAGCGUGGGGAGCAAACAGG